GUUCUCAUUUUUGGCAGCAUAUAUACUAACAUUGAAACAAUAUGGAGAAAAUUAGCACGGCCCCUAUGCAAUGAUGAUACACAAGUUCAUAAAGCAUUCCAUAUUUUA
ensembl:snRNA U6 U6 spliceosomal RNA